GGGGACAAAGUAUUUAGAAAGUACAAUUCAAUUACAAUGAGGAGGUCCGUAAGGUGUCCCUU
rnacentral:tRNA from 1 species